GGGUUGUGAGGUUAAGCGACUAAGCGUACACGGUGGAUGCCCUGGCAGUCAGAGGCGAUGAAGGGCGUGCUAAUCUGCGAUAAGCGCCGGUAAGGUGAUAUGAACCGUUAUAACCGGCGAUACCCGAAUGGGGAAACCCAGUGUGACUCGUCACACUAUCAUUAACUGAAUCCAUAGGUUAAUGAGGCGAACCGGGGGAACUGAAACAUCUAAGUACCCCGAGGAAAAGAAAUCAACCGAGAUUCCCCCAGUAGCGGCGAGCGAACGGGGAGGAGCCCAGAGCCUGAAUCAGCAUGUGUGUUAGUGGAAGCGUCUGGAAAGGCGCGCGAUACAGGGUGACAGCCCCGUACACAAAAGCGCAUGUGCUGUGAGCUCGAUGAGUAGGGCGGGACACGUGGUAUCCUGUCUGAAUAUGGGGGGACCAUCCUCCAAGGCUAAAUACUCCUGACUGACCGAUAGUGAACCAGUACCGUGAGGGAAAGGCGAAAAGAACCCCGGCGAGGGGAGUGAAAAAGAACCUGAAACCGUGUACGUACAAGCAGUGGGAGCCCCACCACCAAAGCAUUUGCUGUACCGCGUUGACGGAGCGAAGCGACGUCAAACCGAUAAAACAGCAGUGUAAAGUGAGCCGCAGGGCGCUUUGCGCGACAGCGCAAAGGCAGGCGGUUUCGCGUAGCGAAAGCGAAUGCUUUGGGGUGGGGUGACUGCGUACCUUUUGUAUAAUGGGUCAGCGACUUAUAUUCUGUAGCAAGGUUAACCGAAUAGGGGAGCCGGAGGGAAACCGAGUCUUAAUUGGGCGUUAAGUUGCAGGGUAUAGACCCGAAACCCGGUGAUCUAGCCAUGGGC
rnacentral:rRNA from 3 species